AUUGAACGCUGGCGGCAUGCCUAACACAUGCAAGUCGAGCGAGCGGCGGACGGGUGAGUAAUGCAUGGGGAUCUGGCCGAUAGAGGGGGAUAACUACUGGAAACGGUGGCUAAUACCGCAUACUAUCGGAUGAACCCAAUUGGGAUUAGCUAGUAGGUGGGGUAAAGGCUCACCAAGGCGACGAUCUCUAGCUGGUCUGAGAGGAUGACCAGCCACACUGGGACUGAGACACGGCCCAGACUCCUACGGGAGGCAGCAGUGGGGAAUAUUGCGCAAUGGGCGCAAGCCUGAUGCAGCCAUGCCGCGUGUAUGAAGAAGGCCUUAGGGUUGUAAAGUACUUUCGGCGGUGAGGCGUUACCCACAGAAGAAGCACCGGCUAACUCCGUGCCAGCAGCCGCGGUAAUUC
rnacentral:rRNA from 1 species